CUGUGGCGCCCUCCUUGGGCGUUUCCUCCCUAGACUUCGGCCUGCGCUCCGGCGCGGGCCCUUUUCUUUUCUGGA
rnacentral:sRNA from 1 species